GGGUUAGUAGGUUGGUCAUGCCUCUGGUAUGUACUGGUCUCACUGAUUCCUCCCUCCUGAUGAACCUUAAUGCCAUUAAUUUGGUGUUAUGGGGAGUUAGGACUGUUACUUUGAAAAAAUUAGAGUGUUUAAAGCAAGCUAACGCUUGAAUACAUUAGCAUGGAAUAAUGAAAUAGGACGUUCGAUCCUAUUUUGUUGGUUUCUAGGAUUGACGUA
rnacentral:rRNA from 1 species